AAAGUUUUAGAUAUGUGUGUAAUAUUAUUUUAUUGAAAAAUGUGUGGUUGAAAUGAUAUCACAAUACUGUUGAAAAAUGCAUUUUUACCAAAGAAUGGGGAUCAAACAAGGGCUGUAUUGCAAGGUUGGGGACCAACUUAGUACUGGGACAGUACUUGGGCCAAUGAUGCAAUUUCCUUCCAAUCAACUUCGUGUCCUCUUGUGCUGAUGUUGAUCUUUGUUUGUAUUGUGAAACUAGGAGCUCAAUGCUAACAGACCGCCUACACCAACUAGGGGCCGUCCUCAAGUGACUAAUGAUAGAGGUUCUCUUGCUUGGAUUUAGAUUUUGCUCCCAGAUUGCUUUACCGUACUCCAGGCUCAUGCUAACACUAGGAAAUUUCCAGUGAUCUGUACAUAGCAUGAUUCCAUGUUGAGGAUUCUGCAGAGAUAAGUUAUUCUCUUUGUCUCACUGGAGUGCCUUCAGAAGAUAAAGAUAAAGUCGAAGAGUUUGAACAUGUUGCAGGCGGCUAGUUGUAGACUACAUUUGUUGUGCUGAAAGCAGUUCAGGAUUUCCAAAAGCUGUACAUGAUCCACAACAGGUGGAAGAUACAGUGUCAGUUCUUCCUUUGUGUGGGUAGGCUUCGUUUCUUCCAUCUUUAUAUAUUUUUCGUCCAUUCGGUAGGUGCAUUAUUGUUAUUUGCGUUGUAACUUGUAAGAGGACUUGAAGUUCGUAUACAAGGUUGGUGAGAUAGAAUCAUACUCGUCUUAUUUGUUCGUGUAUAAUAGAGGUUUUUCUGUGUAAUUUGUGUUUGUACAAUGUAAUGACCAAUAACCUUUGAAGAUAAGAAGCUGUUUCUGCUCUCCCUCGUGCCCAAACGACUGUUUGUAAUCAUUUUUUAGUGUUUUAUUUGUUGUGAACAUGCUUUAAUUGAAAAUGAC
rnacentral:lncRNA from 1 species